rnacentral:rRNA from 1 species
GAUGAACGCUGGCGGCGUGCCUAAUACAUGCAAGUCGAGCGAACGGACGGGAAGCUUGCUUCUCUGAUGUUAGCGGCGGACGGGUGAGUAACACGUGGAUAACCUACCUAUAAGACUGGGAUAACUUCGGGAAACCGGAGCUAAUACCGGAUAUUAUUUUGAACCGCAUGGUUCAAAAGUGAAAGACGGUCUUGCUGUCACUUAUAGAUGGAUCCGCGCUGCAUUAGCUAGUUGGUAAGGUAACGGCUUACCAAGGCAACGAUGCAUAGCCGACCUGAGAGGGUGAUCGGCCACACUGGAACUGAGACACGGUCCAGACUCCUACGGGAGGCAGCAGUAGGGAAUCUUCCGCAAAGGGCGAAAGCCUGACGGAGCAACGCCGCGUGAGUGAUGAAGGUCUUCGGAUCGUAAAACUCUGUUAUUAGGGAAGAACAUAUGUGUAAGUAACUGUGCACAUCUUGACGGUACCUAAUCAGAAAGCCACGGCUAACUACGUG